CACAGUUUUUCAACGCCCGUUUGUUUUGAAAAUUUCUCAAAGCGGAAAAUGCUAUUUACUUAUUGCGCUUCGUUUACUUACAAGGUAUUUAGGUUUGUGUCGUCUGUUCCCUGUUUUGUAUUUGGAAAAUGGAAUUUUCCUGUCUCGAUAGACGAGAACUCUCAAUCGAUUUCGAAAAGGAUGUCUCAAUAGCUGUUUUAUUUUUGUUUAACUUUGCUUUGUUUUCUGUUACCUAAUUUGAUGGUUCGUUAAUUCUAAUUUAUUUAAAACAAGAUUUGAAAUGUUCAAGAUUUAAGCAAUAAUGAUUUAUAAACUAAAUUUUUUUUAUACAACUUAGAACGGUAAACAAGCUGACGGGCCACCUGAUAGUGGUAACCGUCGCCUAUAGACAUGAGCAGUACCAUGGACAUAACAACCACAACACAUAACACACCCUUCAAACCGAAACACAGCCAUGCAAAUACAACUGCUUCACGGUUGAAAUACGAAUGGGACAGAGGUACCCAAGCAAUCGACUUUUGUACGAAGUCUCUUUUUGGUAAUAUAUGUAUUUUAUUCUCUUCACACAAAAAUUUUCUACAAGAGUUGCUACAAGAGUUAAAUUUGGGCCCAAAUUCUUUUACAUAACGACUGUGACAAAACUUGUCAGAGUACUUAGCAAUUUCACUCACUUUCUGAAUCGAACCACCUGGAAAUGAGAUAAAAAAAAAGACAGCACAGUAUUCAAUUUAAAAAUUACUUAAUAUAAUAUAUAUAGUACUCGUAGAGCAUCUAAAAUCUUCCAAUAAUGCUUAAGGUAGAUAACUUAAGGUAGAAAGUACAGUUUCUGUCUCCAUUCCACAGCAAGCAUGCUCCAGCAUCUACACUGAAUUAAAUGAUAAAAGAUUGUAAUAAUUUUAUUCCUCUACGUAUCUCAUUUUGAGAUUGGACAAGGAAAAAAUUGCUACUAUUCAUUGCCAAUUAGUGAAAUUAUUUUUACUCGCAAUGAUAUCACUAGUGACAAAUCAUAAAAUAGUGCUACUAUUUGCUAUGUAAUAUGAAUUAUCAUAAGAGUGAGCGAAUAGAGACUUAAAAGCAAUGUUAUAGUCUGUAUUCGCUUGCUUUGUGCAGUCCAGUCGGUCGUCUGUUGCGAUUUCACUUCGCUGGUAUCAAGCACAGCCGAUGAUUCACGAAUAAACCCGAUCACAGCGACUAUCUGCGAUUUCAUGUUACAGUGAUUUGUAGCACUUUUUGUGAGCUCGUAGCUAGAGUGACGUAUUAUUUGGUGGUAUUACCAGGAUGAGCAAAUUUACUUCUAAUAAAAAAAAGUUUUUUAUAGGGGUGUGAAGAUGGAUUCUCUGCCGAUGGCGAGCAAAGGUGGCCGUAGGCAUCAUGUCGAAGAGUUUUUCAGAAUACAGUCCGUUAUACAGGCGGUAGAAGGCACAAAGGGGAGCAAAUUCUCUUCUUAAAGAAAGGGGCUAAUACCACCUUCUAGCUUUGGAUUGUUGACAAUUCUCAUAGCAUGCCUCUGAACCAAUUUAGUACAAGUUGCUAUGCAGGAGCUUCUGUCCACAAAAUACCAGGAUCCAAAGCUCAUUCUACACUGACAUUACACAGAUUCAGGAAAAUUAAACGGCGUGAAUCUAUGUCAUAUCAUUGUACUAAAGAUGUGCACGUGCAUACUUCAUGUGAGAGAAUCCAGCCGUUGUGUGCCAUCUUAUGCCUUGCGUAUUCGAGAUGGAUGGCGCCCUCGGAGCUGAGGAGGAGCGCCCCUUGCAGGCGGGCCAUGGCAGCGCCGGCGUCGGUGGGGCUAGCGAAGUCGACGAAGGCCACCGGGCCCGAGCUGCCGCCGUUGCCGCCGGUCAGGAGUCGCAGGCGCGAGAAACCGGGGCAACUGUACCACCACACUUAGUUGUGCCCACGCCCGUAAACCCACAGCGAUUUGAAGUGUGUAUUGAUGAUAGAUCACAUUGCUAUCAGGCUCAAAUUUAGAAUAUACCCAUAUUGAAAAAUAUGAACUCUUGGGAAUUAAUAAUGAUAUCGAGUUAAUUGAAUGAGUUAAAGAGACUAAAACAGAAUAAUAAAACAAUAUUCGAUGUUGAUGUCGAACAGUUAAUUUCUAUCAUAUAGCAGUAUAAAAAUUAAUAUCUACUGGAGCCCCUAAAAAUAUAAGGGCUAAAUAAAUUUGAGAUCGAUUCUAUAACAGCCUGAUCGAAAAUUGUAUCCGUGAGCUCGUUUACCUGAAGCAAUGUGAGACUAAUGAUCUAGUCAAAAUAUUUGUGUUGUCUAUAUUUAAAUAAAAAUUUUCAUCAUAUA